rnacentral:rRNA from 1 species
GAUUAACGCUGGCGGCGUGCAUAACACAUUCAAGUCGAACGGAGUAAAGGGCUUCGGUCCUUUACUUAGUGGCGGACGGGUGAGUAACGCGUGAGCAAUCUACCUCUGGGUACGGAAUAACAACCGGAAACAGUUGCUAAUACCGUAUGAAAUAGCAGUGUCGCAUGACACUACUAUCAAAGAUUUAUCGCCAAGAGAUGAGCUUGCGUCCGAUUAGAUAGUUGGUGGGGUAACGGCCCACCAAGUCGACGAUCGGUAGCCGGACUGAGAGGUUGAGCGGCCACAUUAGAACUGAGAAACGGUCCAGACUCCUACGGGAGGCAGCAGUGGGGAAUAUUGGGCAAUGGGGGAAACCCUGACCCAGCGACGCCGCGUGAAGGAAGAAGGUCUUCGGAUUGUAAACUUUAGUCAACAGGGACGAAGAAGUGACGGUACCUGUGGAGGAAGCCACGGCUAACUACGUGCCAGCCGCCGCCGUAAAAC